rnacentral:lncRNA from 1 species
AAUUUUAGACGCUUUUAUUUCAUCACUUAACCAAAAUUUUCCACUCUCUUAUGCCCUCCCAAAUUUUGCUCUCUCCUCCGCGAUUCCUAAAAUUUUCGAUCCUCACUUCAACUACACCAAAAUUGCACUCCAAAAUUUCACUCUAAGUGUUCCCUUUAGCUUUUCCUAUAGUCAAAACCCUAACUCUUAAUCUCAGCAGCCACUUGAACCCUCAUUUCACCAUAAUUUCAGUGGCCACAAAACCCUAACUCCUGCACUGUCCAAUCGUGCUGUCAGUGUCGUUCACCUCACCAAUGGUGAAUUUUCAGGUGUCAUCACUGGCGGAGAACGAGAGAAGACAGUGGAUUUUGCAUAAGAGUUUAUGGAAAGAGGAACAAUGCUUUCAAACGAAGUGAUUACAGCAAGGUUACUAUGUGCUUUAGCCGUGCUUUAAAGAUCAGGUUAGGGUUUGCACUCAAAUUUUAUGAUUUUGCCUAUUAGAAAUUGAAUUUGUUAGUGUUUUGGGCUUGAGGAAUAGUUGAAGCCAUACCCAAUCGAAAAAGAAUGUUAUCUAAAUGCAUUUCAAGUAAUUGUAGUAAAACCAGACCGAUUGACCCUUUGGGUUUUUCGACGACACGAACAUAUUUAAGUAAUUGUCGUUCUGUAAGACUGUAAUGAAAAAGCAAAGCCACCAAUUUAAAUAUUUCUUUUAUUUUUCCUCCUUUGUCCGUUGGCUUGUUUGUUUCAUUUAUGUGCUUGUGUGCUAUUAUUUAAUUUAUGAGGUUAGAUUUAGUUUGUUAUAAGGAUUUUUGCAUCAGUUUGCAGUAGCUCUUUUUUUUUUUUUGGUUAUAAAUUGAUGUCACUCACAAAAUCUAUUGGUCCUUGUAUCAAAUUGAAAUUAUAAUUUUUAGUAUGUAAUACUUAGUGCCUUGUACUCCUACAGGUGGAAGAGGCUAAUUUUGCAAACUAGUCGCACCUAGCUAUGGACUUCAUUUUAGGUGAGAUGAUACUUAGCAUUAUCAUAUGCCAGUCUUUUAAAAUAUGUAUGUAUAAGCACAAAUUGGUGAUUACAUAACCUGUAUUGUGACUUUCAUGAGGCAAGAAAUUUCGGCCUUUAGUAGGAGCUUUAAGUGAUAUGGACAAAGUAGAUACUCUUUAUGUCUCCAAAAUGCAGUAAAUUUUUGGAGGUUUGAAGUGUAUAUUAUAUUAUGUUUGUGCAUUCUGACUGCUUUGAAAGUUUGUGUUUAGAUUUGGAGAGGAGUUUACUCCUUCUCCCCUGUUAUCUUAUUGCUUGCUAUUGAAUGAUGACAUAGGUAUCAAUUAGUGUGAGGUGAAUUUAAUACUGAUAGGCAAGUGUGAAACAAAACUAUCAAGAGAAUUUAGUCGAUUAAAAAAGUACUGUUUUGCGGUUCUGAUAAUACCAUUUAAAAAAAAAUUAAAAGAAACUAAUAUGAAGGAUAGGAAAAAUAAUACGGAGUUCCAUGAUUUUUAGUCUUUGACUGUAUCUAUUUAUUUUAGGGAUUAUUGUUUAUAGCAAACAAUUAACAAAAUGAAACUAACCCACUCAUAUAGGUGCCACUGUAAUUGGUGAUUCAAGUUUAAAUGAUGCCAUUAUUGCCUUUAAUUUUGUUUUGCAACUUGAGAUGGCUAGGUUAGUUAGAGAUGAUAAAUAAAAUGCAAUUAUAAAAUGCCCUUACAAACCCCCUCGCAUAGGUGCCACUGUAAUUGGUGAUUUCAUCUUGAUUGAUAAUGACUGUGUCUUUUAAAAGAAAAUCGUAAGUCAUACAUGUAGCAGCAGCAAGCAUUGCUGUUUUGUUCUAUUCAAUUGAGGAAUAAUUCAAAAAGUAAAAAAAUCCUCCUCUCUCAGAAUAAAUGAUAAAACCCUUUUAGAAUUUUAUUUUAAUGGUCUGGGUUUUGCAUAUGCUUUACAAUUGGAUGUAGUGGCUCCUCUAGGUUCAUGAUGCAAAAUGAUAGAAGACAAGAAGUUGCUUCCUGUUUAGCGCUUUAGCUGCCUUCAGGCCACCUGCUCAUGAUAGAAUAUUUCAAUUAUAAUUUUCUUGAAGGAAAUAAAAGAUUUGAGUACUCAAUAAAUUUCAAAACUUAUUCACAAUUCUACUAAUCAUUCAAAUCUGGAUAGUGCUAGUGUUUCUGUUCAUUUUCUGUAGUUGAUUUUCUGAUAUCUUGCAUCUUUUUGCAGAAAACUCUCGGGCUUUGGCAUUGGAGAAAUCUCUUGCUUACAAGUCUACAAUUUCUUAAUAUAGCAUAUUCUUAUAGAAUUUAUGCAUAGUGCUAUAGAUUUAAUGCCUUGAAAGGAGACAAGGUAGAUUUUUUUAUUGUUUUAAGUCACUUUCUUAACUAAUAGCAUAUUGUUAGGUUUAUAUAACUUGCUUUCUUGUAUAUCCAAGUUUCUUAUAUUGUUUAAGAUUACAAGUUGAGCUGCAUAUGAUAAUCUUGGUGUUGGAAUUGAAGUUUAGUUUUGCAGGAAAAUUAGCUGCUGGAUAGUUUUGCAUAGAUUCAAUUGUUGUUGCCUCUGGAAUUGGAGUGCAGUUUUGUUGGAAAAUUAGCUGUUGGAAUUCAUGGUCUGAUGGUAUUUUGCUUGCUAUUGGGCUAGAAUUAACAUACAAUAUCUAGACUUCGGAAUAUUUUUUGUAUUGUGAAUGGAUAAUUUGUUUAAUUGAUAUAUUUUCAAGUUAUUGUGAUAUUGGUGGAUGUAAUUUUUUAUUUAUUAGAUAUUUGAUUAUUCUGGUGGAUGUAACUUUUGAAUUGUUAGAUGUUUGGUAGUACUUUGGGUUUGAUUUGAUAUACUAAUUUUUUAUUUAAAAUUUUAAUUUUAAAAAAUAAAAAAAUUGGGAAUUUACAAAAUAAAUAAUACAAUUUAAAUAAUAAUACAAUAAUAUUAAUAUUAAUGAAAUUUCAAUAAUAAUAAAA